ACAUUAAGGUUAUAUGUUCUUACAGUAGAAGCACUCUGCAUUAGGAGAAACCCAGUUACCUGAAUGAAAGACAGACAGACAGACAGGAAGGAAGGUCGGGGACAGACAGACAGACAGACAGGAAGGAAGGUCGGGGACAGACAGACAGACAGACAGACAGGAAGGAAGGUAGGUCGGGGACAGACAGACAGACAGACAGACAGGAAGGAAGGUAGGUCGGGGACAGACAGACAGACAGACAGGAAGGUAGGAAGGUCGGGGCCAGACAGACAGACGUACUUUGUUUCUUGUAGUAGUCCUCCCAGGCCUUACUGUAGUCUGUCAUCAAGCUCUGAGG